CAAAAUUAUGAAUUUCUUUCCAUUGUCAGUUUGGUUCCAAAUUAAAAACCCUAUAUAUUUCGCAAUCAUCUACAAUCUUGUAUAUUGCUAUCUUGAUUCCUCUAUAUUGUUUCAAUUAUGUAUUUUCUCCUUCAAUUGGGUGUUUAUUGUUAAGAGAUUUUGAUGAUGAGGAUGUCAGAUAGUCGAAGCCAUGGAAGAUGGACGGUCGGGAAAGAAAAACAAAAAGGAGCUUCGAAGAAAACCUUUAUGUUGGCAAGAUGGGGCUUUUUAUACCAACCAUUGAAUCUGUGGAAGAUUUUAGGAUUUCACCUGCUAGAGAUGGAUUCAUAAGGAGACGAAGGUGCCUACGAAGGUGAAAAGGAAGGCAUAUUAAUAUAGGGACGAUGAGGAGGAGGACCUACAAUUUGAGAACGAAGAAGGAUAUCGGGUUGACGUUGGUGUAUGAUGCUGUAGACUGUAGUUGUGAGUGGCUUCACUAUGGGAAACUGAUGACUAGAGUGGAAGGCUCUGGACUCCGUAGCUUUGGGUACACUAGGAGCACUUGCAUUAGCCACUGAACCUCCUACCAAUGAAUUGAUGGAACGACAACUGGACCGAAGUAAUGGAAAAAAAGAAAACAGUCGGUGAUGGGUCAAAAGAGGUAAAAUUUUGUUAUAUCGACGUUUCCGGAUGUUUAUAAGUACUUAGUGUAUUAAACAUAUCACAAACAUUUCCGGAGGUUUGUAAGCAUUUGGAUACGCUAUAGGUGAUUUUCAACACAUGACUUUUAACUGAUUUUAAUUUUUUUAAUCCAUUUGCUUUGUUGAAUAUAAAAUACAAACUCAAAAUCGACUACUUCUAUGUAUUUUUGUACUUUCGCGACUUUGGAUGAGAUUAAUCAUAUGACCUAUUUCGCAUUUCAGUUUAAGCUUUUGAAUUUUAGGUAAAUAGUUCGAAAAUGUCGCGUCACUAUUUUAUUAAGUAAGAUGGAUUUGGACAUCUGAAAGAGACUUUACUCCAACACCAAGACUAACUUCCAUGAGGUUGCGAUCAAAGCUAUAAUAUUUUUAAAUGUCAAAACGGCUGAGGAUGAAGGAACACAAAAUUCUCUUAAUUGUUUUGGGAAUUGGUUUAGUUUUCGAUUGAUUGGUGGCAGGCUGGAAUCAUCCUCUACUACAUGCUUACCGACGGAUUUUCUGAUCAAUUAGCAAAAUUAGUUUAGCCGAUGGUCUAAAUCUCAUCUACCAAUCAAGGCACUGGCAAACAGUUCACUGGAAUAUUCAACAGUUUAGAGCAUUGCAUUCAAUUGUUUAUUAAAGAUAUUCCAACAGUUUAGAGCAUUUACUAUGGUGUGAAUUUCUUUCGCAGGUGUGAGUAUUUUAUUUCGUGUAAUCAAUUCUUAUAGUCCAACAUAGAAGAGGGGGCAUGCAAUGCCUUGCUUCAAGAACUUCAUUUGCUCACUUUUAAGCUCAAUUCUUCAAACUUUACCUAUUUUGGUUAGUGAUUUGUGUUCUUGAAAUUACGUGCUUUGUUAUUGGGAUCUUUUUAAUGGACCCGUCAUAAAAAAAUUGAAGUAUUGACUUUCUAUACUUA